rnacentral:rRNA from 1 species
AACGAACGCUGGCGGCAUGCCUAACACAUGCAAGUCGAACGAAGGCUUCGGCCUUAGUGGCGCACGGGUGAGUAACGCGUGGGAAACUGCCUAUUGGUGGGGAAUAACGACGGGAAACUGUCGCUAAUACCGCAUAAGCCCUUCGGGGGAAAGAUUUAUCGCCGUUGGAUGUGCCCGCGUUCGACUAGCUAGUUGGUGAGGUAACGGCUCACCAAGGCGACGAGCGGUAGCGGGUCUGAGAGGAUGAUCAGCCACACUGGGACUGAGACAUGGCCCAGACUCCUACGGGUGGCCGCAGUGGGGACUAUUGGACGAUGGGCGAAAGCCUGAUCCUGCAAUGCCGCGUGAGUGAUGAAGGCAUGAGGGUUGCAAAGCUCUUUCGGGUGGGACGAUGAUGACGGUACCACCAGAAGAAGCCCCGGCUAACUUCGUGCCAGCCGCCGCGGUAA